rnacentral:sRNA from 1 species
CUGCUGGAUGGAUUAAAAAGUGGAACCACUAUUGCACUGAAGGUUGGAUGCCUACAGCUGAUCAAUGCUCUCAUCACACCAGCGGAGGAACUUGACUUCCGAGUUCACAUCAGAAGUGAACUGAUGCGUUUGGGGCUACAUCAGGUGUUGCAGGACCUUCGAGAGAUUGAAAAUGAAGAUAUGAGAGUGCAACUAAAUGUGUUUGAUGAACAAGGGGAAGAGGAUUCCUAUGACCUGAAGGGACGGCUGGAUGACAUUCGCAUGGAGAUGGAAUAUCCUUUUGCUGACUAGGUUCAAGGCAGAUGAGACAUUCAUUGUAUUUAGUUCCCUGAUCCCUGUGUGGAAUGGUUUGGGAGAUGAUGACUCAGAACAGAGCAUCAGGCUUAUGUGUCUUCUCAUUAAAUAAGGCAGGUGUAUUUUUAUUGCGCUGGCUUUACUUACCUUAUCAUAGAUCAGGGAAGUCAGUAAAGGUGAUCUGAGGGUUGUUGAGCAUGGAAGCCAUCAAAAU